rnacentral:rRNA from 1 species
AUUGAACGCUGGCGGCAUGCCUUACACAUGCAUGUCGAACGGCAGCACGGGUGCUUGCACCUGGUGGCGAGUGGCGAACGGGUGAGUAAUACAUCGGAACAUGUCCUGUAGUGGGGGAUAGCCCGGCGAAAGCCGGAUUAAUACCGCAUACGAUCUACGGAUGAAAGCGGGGGACCUUCGGGCCUCGCGCUAUAGGGUUGGCCGAUGGCUGAUUAGCUAGUUGGUGGGGUAAAGGCCUACCAAGGCGACGAUCAGUAGCUGGUCUGAGAGGACGACCAGCCACACUGGGACUGAGACACGGCCCAGACUCCUACGGGAGGCAGCAGUGGGGAAUUUUGGACAAUGGGCGAAAGCCUGAUCCAGCAAUGCCGCGUGUGUGAAGAAGGCCUUCGGGUUGUAAAGCACUUUUGUCCGGAAAGAAAUCCUUGGCCCUAAUACGGUCGGGGGAUGACGGUACCGGAAGAAUAAGCACCGGCUAACUACGUG